rnacentral:rRNA from 1 species
GACGAGCCACCCGAACGUUAUUCGGAAUUACUGGGCUUAAAGGGUGCGUAGGCGGUGUAGCAAGUCGGGAGUGAAAUACCUCAGCUUAACUGAGGAACUGCUUUCGAUACUGCUGCGCUUGAGUGAGACAGAGGUAAGCGGAACUUAGGGUGGAGCGGUGAAAUGCGUUGAUAUCCUAAGGAACACCGGUGGCGAAGGCGGCUUACUGGGUCUCUACUGACGCUGAGGCACGAAAGCCAGGGUAGCAAACGGG